GUAGCUUAAUGGUAGAGCACAUGCUUUACAUGUACAAGGUCCUGGGUUUGAUCCCCAGC
rnacentral:tRNA from 1 species